UGGGGGCUAGCGACACGAAACUACAAUAGUGCCAGAUGUGAGGAAGGAGGGAGUGGGAUGUGGUGUAAGGUUUCGAUAGCGGAUGAACCAAAAUAGUGCAGUUUAAAUAGAAAAAGAUUGGGAAGGGAUAAGACUAGCCUAACACCAGCCCUUCGUUGGUUGCAGCAACCCCAAACAGUCAUCAGUCAUUCUACUGGCCACCAUUAGGUGGUCUUAUCUCCCAUAACAAGAGAUUGAGAAAAGGGAAUGUGAUUUUUCCUGUUUCAAUCUCUUUUUUUUU
rnacentral:lncRNA from 1 species